rnacentral:rRNA from 1 species
GUGUCAGCAGCCGCGGUAAUACAGAGGUCCCAAGCGUUGUUCGGAUUCACUGGGCGUAAAGGGUGCGUAGGUGGUGAGGUAAGUCGGAUGUGAAAGCUCGGAGCUCAACUCCGAAAUGGCAUUGGAAACUACCUUGCUCGAGGGAUGGAGGGGGGACUGGAAUUCUCGGUGUAGCAGUGAAAUGCGUAGAUAUCGAGAGGAACACCAGUGGCGAAGGCGAGUCCCUGGACAUCUCCUGACACUGAGGCACGAAAGCUAGGGGAGCAAACAGGAUUAGAUACCCCUGUAGUCC